UACAGAGGGUGCAAGCGUUAAUCGGAAUUACUGGGCGUAAAGCGCGCGUAGGUGGUUUGUUAAGUUGGAUGUGAAAGCCCCGGGCUCAACCUGGGAACUGCAUUCAAAACUGACAAGCUAGAGUAUGGUAGAGGGUGGUGGAAUUUCCUGUGUAGCGGUGAAAUGCGUAGAUAUCUGGAGGAACACCGGUGGCGAAGGCGGCAUCCUGGACCGAGACUGACACUGAGGAGCGAAAGCCAGGGGAGCAAACGGG
rnacentral:rRNA from 1 species